rnacentral:pre_miRNA from 1 species
AAAGUACUCCCUCCGUCCCAAAAUUCUUGUAUUAGAUUUGUCUAGAUACGGAUGUAUCAAGUCACAUUUUAGUAUUAGAUACAUCCAUAUCUAUACAAAUCUAAGACAAGAAAUUUGGGACAGAGGGAGUAGUUG